UUUUCUUCGUUUCGCCGCCUCCCGUGCCCUAGAACGGCGCACAGAUCUCACCGGAGUUUGCCGCCGUCUGAAGCUUCUGCCGGUCGAUUGCAUCGCCUCUGGAGGGAAGCACCCACCCGAGUGCUUCGAGCUCGCCCCAACGAACACCCCACCGCCCGAGCUCCAGCCACCCUCUGUCGUCAUCCCCGCUCGCCACCGACGCCGCUGAGGACGUCGUAGAGACCGCAGCAGAGCUCCACGCCCCGUACGAUACCCUCUGGAGUCUAGAGACCACCGAAGCAGGCGCCACCAUCGCCGCCCGAGCCGCCCCGCGCCGUUCUUCCUCAAGUCCGGCGACCAGCCUCUGUUCUUCUCCGAUUGUCCGAAGUGCGAAGCGGGUCGGAAUUUAUCGUUAGAGUACUUCAACAGUGUUCAAGGCAAGUUUGCACUUUUGAAUAUGCUCACCCUAUAUUCUGCUAUGCAUGUGUUGUUCUUAUGCUAUGAGUAUAUGUUUGGUUGAUCAUUAUUUUUCGU